rnacentral:misc_RNA from 1 species
GUGUAAUGGUAGGGUGGUGGGGGUGACUUCACCGGUGGUGGAGGGGAGGUGUAGUGGUAAGGUGGUGGAGGCGGAGAUUUGUAGACGUAAGGUGGUGGCGGGGAUGAUGAAGGUGGUGGCGGUGAAUUAUAGUGGUAAGGUGGUGGUGGGGAUGAUGAGGGAGGAGGCGGUGACUUGUAUACAUAGCGCGGUGGAGGAGAUAGUGACGGUGGCGGCGGUGACUUGUACUGAUACGAUGGCGAUGGAGGAGGUGGUGA